CCUUAGAGUUUGAUCCUGGCUCAGGAUGAACGCUAGCUACAGGCUUAACACAUGCAAGUCGAGGGGAAACGAUAGAGAAAGCUUGCUUUUUCUAGGCGUCGACCGGCGCACGGGUGAGUAACGCGUAUCCAACCUGCCCACCACUUGGGGAUAACCUUGCGAAAGUAAGACUAAUACCCAAUGAUAUCUCUAGAAGACAUCUGAAGGAGAUUAAAGAUUUAUCGGUGAUGGAUGGGGAUGCGUCUGAUUAGCUUGUUGGCGGGGUAACGGCCCACCAAGGCAACGAUCAGUAGGGGUUCUGAGAGGAAGGUCCCCCACAUUGGAACUGAGACACGGUCCAAACUCCUACGGGAGGCAGCAGUGAGGAAUAUUGGUCAAUGGACGAGAGUCUGAACCAGCCAAGUAGCGUGCAGGAUGACGGCCCUAUGGGUUGUAAACUGCUUUUAUAAGGGAAUAAAGUGAGUCUCGUGAGGCUUUUUGCAUGUACCUUAUGAAUAAGGACCGGCUAAUUCCGUGCCAGCAGCCGCGGUAAUACGGAAGGUCCGGGCGUUAUCCGGAUUUAUUGGGUUUAAAGGGAGCGUAGGCAGGAGAUUAAGCGUGUUGUGAAAUGUAGAUGCUCAACAUCUGCACUGCAGCGCGAACUGGUUUCCUUGAGUACGCACAAAGUGGGCGGAAUUCGUGGUGUAGCGGUGAAAUGCUUAGAUAUCACGAAGAACUCCGAUUGCGAAGGCAGCUCACUGGAGCGCAACUGACGCUGAAGCUCGAAAGUGCGGGUAUCGAACAGGAUUAGAUACCCUGGUAGUCCGCACGGUAAACGAUGGAUGCCCGCUGUUGGUCUGAAUAGGUCAGCGGCCAAGCGAAAGCAUUAAGCAUCCCACCUGGGGAGUACGCCGGCACGGUGAAACUCAAAUGAAUUGACG
rnacentral:rRNA from 1 species